CAGCCGCCGCGGUAACACCGGCAGCUCUAGUGGUAACAAUUUUAUGGGCCUAAAGCGUCCGUAGCCGGUUUAAUAAGUCUCUGGUGAAAUCCUGUAGCUUAACUGUGGGAAUUGCUGGAGAUACUAUUAGACUUGAGACCGGGAGAGGUUAGAGGUACUCCCAGGGUAGAGGUGAAAUUCUGUAAUCCUGGGAGGACCGCCUGUUGCGAAGGCGUCUAACUGGAACGGUUCUGACGGUGAGGGACGAAAGUUAGGGGCGCGAACCGGAUUAGAUACCCGGGUAGUCCUAACUGUAAACGAUGCGGACUUGGUGUUGGGGUGGCUUUGAGCUGCUCCAGUGCCGAAGGGAAGCUGUUAAGUCCGCCGCCUGGGAAGUACGGUCGCAAGACUGAAACUUAAGGAAUUGGCGGGGGAGCACCACAACGCGUGGAGCCUGCCGGUUUAAUUGGAUUCAACGCCGGACAUCUCACCAGAGGCGACAGCUGUAUGAUAGCCAGGUUGAUGACUUUGCUUGACUAGCUGAGUAGUGGUGCAUGG
rnacentral:rRNA from 1 species